GAUGAACGCUAGCUACAGGCUUAACACAUGCAAGUCGAGGGGAAACGGCAUUAAGUGCUUGCACUUUUUGGACGUCGACCGGCGCACGGGUGAGUAACGCGUAUCCAACCUUCCCAUGACUAAGGGAUAACCUGCCGAAAGGCAGACUAAUACCUUAUGGUCUUCACUGACGGCAUCAGAUGUGAAGUAAAGAUUUAUCGGUUAUGGAUGGGGAUGCGUCUGAUUAGCUUGUUGGCAGGGUAACGGCCCACCAAGGCAACGAUCAGUAGGGGUUCUGAGAGGAAGGUCCCCCACAUUGGAACUGAGACACGGUCCAAACUCCUACGGGAGGCAGCAGUGAGGAAUAUUGGUCAAUGGGCGAGAGCCUGAACCAGCCAAGUAGCGUGCAGGAUGACGGCCCUAUGGGUUGUAAACUGCUUUUGUAUGGGGAUAAAGUCAAUCACGUGUGAUUGUUUGCAGGUACCAUACGAAUAAGGACCGGCUAAUUCCGUG
rnacentral:rRNA from 1 species